UACGGGGGGAGCAAGCGUUGUUCGGAUUUACUGGGCGUAAAGGGCGCGUAGGCGGCCACCGCAAGUCGACUGUGAAAUCUCCGGGCUUAACCCGGAAAGGUCAGCCGAUACUGCGGGGCUGGAGUGCAGAAGGGGCAACUGGAAUUCUCGGUGUAGCGGUGAAAUGCGUAGAUAUCGAGAGGAACACCUGCGGCGAAGGCGGGUUGCUGGGCUGACACUGACGCUGAGGCGCGAAAGCUAAGGGAGCGAACGGG
rnacentral:rRNA from 1 species